UAAUUGAGAGUUUGAUCCUGGCUCAGGAUGAACGCUGGCGGCGUGCCUAACACAUGCAAGUCGAGCGAGAAAUAAAGAAAUGAAGCUUCGGUAGAUUUUCUUUAUGGAAAGCGGCGGACGGGUGAGUAACGCGUAGGCAACCUGCCCUGUACAGGGGGAUAGCCACCCGAAAAGGUGAUUAAUACCCCAUAACGCAAGAGAUACACAUGUAUCACUUGUCAAAGAUUUAUCGGUAUAGGAUGGGCCCGCGUCUGAUUAGCUAGUUGGUAGGGUAACGGCUUACCAAGGCAACGAUCAGUAGCCGACCUGAGAGGGUGAUCGGCCACAUUGGAACUGAGACACGGUCCAAACUCCUACGGGAGGCAGCAGUGGGGAAUAUUGCACAAUGGGGGAAACCCUGAUGCAGCGACGCCGCGUGAGUGAAGAAGUACUUCGGUAUGUAAAGCUCUAUCAGCAGGGAAGAAAAUGACGGUACCUGAGUAAGAAGCCCCGGCUAACUACGU
rnacentral:rRNA from 1 species